UUUCCGUAGGUGAACCUGCGGAAGGAUCAUUCAUAAUAAGUGUUUUACUGCACUUUUUAAAAAUAGUACUCACCUUGUUUGCAAUGUUGUGUUUCUUUUCGGAGAAACACCUACACCAACCUAUAACCUUGAACCACUUUGUCUGAAAAACUAUUAUGAAUACUUAAUUCAAAAUACAACUUUCAACAACGGAUCUCUUGGCUCUC
rnacentral:misc_RNA from 1 species